GUGGGGAAUAUUGGACAAUGGGCGAAAGCCUGAUCCAGCCAUGCCGCGUGUGUGAAGAAGGUCUUCGGAUUGUAAAGCACUUUAAGUUGGGAGGAAGGGCAUUAACCUAAUACGUUAGUGUUUUGACGUUACCGACAGAAUAAGCACCGGCUAACUCUGUGCCAGCAGCCGCGGUAAUACAGAGGGUGCAAGCGUUAAUCGGAAUUACUGGGCGUAAAGCGCGCGUAGGUGGUUUGUUAAGUUGGAUGUGAAAGCCCCGGGCUCAACCUGGGAACUGCAUCCAAAACUGGCAAGCUAGAGUACGGUAGAGGGUGGUGGAAUUUCCUGUGUAGCGGUGAAAUGCGUAGAUAUAGGAAGGAACACCAGUGGCGAAGGCGACCACCUGGACUGAUACUGACACUGAGGUGCGAAAGCGUGGGGAGCAA
rnacentral:rRNA from 1 species